rnacentral:misc_RNA from 1 species
UUAAGUUCAGCGGGUAUUCCUACCUGAUCCGAGGUCAACCUUUAAAAAAUGGUAUGGGGUUUGGCGGCUGAAGACCACCCGGCCACACGGACGUUUUGACAGAUUCUGCUACGCCCGAAGCCGGAUUGACUCCGCCGAAAGGUUUGAGGCCCGCCCGCGUUUGACGGCGGACGAAUGGGCCUAAUGCCAAGCUGUGCUUG